GAUGAACGCUGGCGGCGUGCUUAACACAUGCAAGUCGAACGAAGAUGCCGGAGUGCUUGCACUUUGGCAGACUGAGUGGCGGACGGGUGAGUAACGCGUGGGUAACCUGCCUUAUACAGGGGGAUAACAGUUGGAAACGACUGCUAAUACCGCAUAAGCGCACGGUAUCGCAUGAUACAGUGUGAAAAACUCCGGUGGUAUAAGAUGGACCCGCGUCUGAUUAGCUUGUUGGUGAGGUAACGGCCCACCAAGGCGACGAUCAGUAGCCGGCCUGAGAGGGUGAACGGCCACAUUGGGACUGAGACACGGGCCCAAACUCCUACGGGAGGCAGCAGUGGGGAAUAUUGCACAAUGGGGGAAACCCUGAUGCAGCGACGCCGCGUGAGUGAUGAAGUAUUUCGGUAUGUAAAACUCUAUCAGCAGGGAAGAUAAUGACGGUACCUGACUAAGAAGCACCGGCUAAAUACGUG
rnacentral:rRNA from 1 species